rnacentral:rRNA from 1 species
UGGGGAAUAUUGGACAAUGGGCGCAAGCCUGAUCCAGCCAUACCGCGUGGGUGAAGAAGGCCUUCGGGUUGUAAGCCCUUUUGUUGGGAAAGAAAUCCAGCUGGCUAAUACCCGGUUGGGAUGACGGUACCCAAAGAAUAAGCACCGGCUAACUUCGUGCCAGCAGCCGCGGUAAUACGAAGGGUGCAAGCGUUACUCGGAAUUACUGGGCGUAAAGCGUGCGUAGGUGGUCGUUUAAGUCCGUUGUGAAAGCCCUGGGCUCAACCUGGGAACUGCAGUGGAUACUGGGCGACUAGAGUGUGGUAGAGGGUAGCGGAAUUCCUGGUGUAGCAGUGAAAUGCGUAGAGAUCAGGAGGAACAUCCAUGGCGAAGGCAGCUACCUGGACCAACACUGACACUGAGGCACGAAAGCGUGGGGAGCAAACAGGAUUAGAUACCCUGGUAGUCCACGCCCUAAACGAUGCGAACUGGAUGUUGGGUGCAAUUUGGCACGCAGUAUCGAAGCUAACGCGUUAAGUUCGCCGCCUGGGGAGUACGGUCGCAAGACUGAAACUUAAAUGAAUUGACGGGGUCAUAGCUG